GUAGGAUCCGAGCGUUGUCCGGAAUUACUGGGUGUAAAGGGCGUGUAGGUGGGUCUCUAAGUCGGUGGUGAAAUCUUGCAGCUUAACUGUAUAAUUGCCAUCGAUACUGGAGGUCUUGAGUACGGCAGAGGGAAAUAGAAUUCAUGGUGUAGCGGUGAAAUGUGUAGAUAUCAUGAAGAAUACCGGUAGCGAAGGCGGUUUCCUGGUCCGUAACUGACACUGAGGCGCGAAAGCGUGGGGAGCAAACAGGAUUAGAUACCCUGGUAGUCCACGCCUUAAACGAUGAAUACUAGGUGCUGGGCCGUAAGGUUCAGUGCCAAAGCUAACGCAUUAAGUAUUCCACCUGGGGAGUACGAUCGCAAGGUUG
rnacentral:rRNA from 1 species